ACGAAGUAACGAGACGAACGGAACGGCGUGUGCACGAAGCCACGUAUUUCCGUAUGAUUACAUUGCUGUCGAGCGAUUACGGCAGGAACGUACGUGGACUAAUUUAGGGUUUGACUUAUCGAUCGUCGUAAAAAGGAGGACGUUAAAUAUGUACACGAUGGAAAUUCCCAAAAAAGAGGUUAUGAUCUUUCGGACGAUUCGGACUGUAUUCGUUACAGUUUACCUUCCAAUUUCCAAAAAUCUGGAUUUUUACAUUGAUCAUCAUUGACGAAAGAUGCCUUAAUCAUAAAAGCAAAAUUUAUCACAAGAAGAAUGCGGUGAAGCUCCAUGUGCCAAAAAUGUGUUAUUGGGUCGAAGGCUAUGAUAAUUCACUAUUUUGCAGAAUUAUUCAUUUUCUAAUCACGAUUUUAUUUUAAUUGACUGACGUUCCUGAAAUAUUAAUGGAAUCGCCGAGACGCGAAGAUACCAAUAAUGACAUUUGAAAUUAUUCACUCGCAGGAAAGUAGCCUUCAACUGCGAUAAAUGUGAUAUGUAAUCACCUGCGAACAACCUGGAAACAUCAAUAGUCAUGAAUUUUGGAGCUGUCACUCGCGCGGAAAAACUUGACUGUAAAAAAGAUUUGCAAAAGUGCAUGUUGAAAUUCGAGGAGGAACGAUGUGAACUAAUGGUUGCUUCAUCGCAUCGAUCCUGAACCAUAAACGAGCCCUACUGGGAGGUAGUUUCACCUUUUAGAACAUCGCACAUCGCUUUGGGAUCGCGACUCAAGUAAGAAAUCCAAUUAAUUAAUUCAGAAAAAUUCGCAUCAAAUCUUUAAGAAAAUCUACAGUCACUUCUUUAAAUUCCGACGCAAAAACCUAAGGUCGCUAUGAGCCUGUUAGGAUAAAUCCUGUCCUUUAUCGCGAUGCCACAAAUGCGAAAGGAUGUCGACAUUGACGUCAACGUUGCGGCGAACGCUUCCUCUGAUUUUUUUUCUAACUCCGCGGACACUUACGU